rfam:Salmo salar isolate Sally breed double haploid chromosome ssa04, whole genome shotgun sequence.
UGUAUUCACUACUGUAAGUCGCUCUGGAUAAGAAUGUCUGCUAAAUGACUGAAA